GAUUAUUGAGUUUGAAGAUGAACGCAGCGGCUGGAGCCUGUACGAAACUACUAGAGCUGGACUUUGCUGAAAGCCUCAAAGAUUUGAGAGAGCAUUUGAGAGAGAGAGAGAGAGUGAGAGAGAGAGAAUCCAUUAAAAAAGUCUUCUCUCCCUCUGCAGGAAAGAAGCUUAAAUUUAAAGAAGGAUGCCACAUAGAACCCGGCCUAUGACAGCACUCUUGUUGUUUACUGGUCUCAAUGUUAUUUUGGUAUCAACCAUUACUCCAGUCUAUGAUUUUGUCUGCUUUCUUCCAUACUGGGAGAGAAGGAGAGAACGUCGUCGUCUAGAACGCGAAGCUACUUUGGCAAAGGGAUCUGAAUCAACCUAAAUGGAUCUCCCCAUGUUAAGAGCUAGGAGAUAACAGGAUCUUUGGUUAGCAUGAAUAGCUUGUGUUUGUUGAUCACAGAAUGACACUAAUAUAUGAAGAUGUAGGAAAAAGAAGCCUUUGUUUGUUCACCUCUUGAAUUUUGUGGCUCAUAUUAUAUCUUUCAGUUGGGGGGAACAUGAUAGUUAUACAUGUCUAGCUGAAACAAUUUUUACCUGAGUAACUGUUAUAACUGUUUUCAUGCAAUGUUGUUAUGACUAUUUGAUGACUAUUGCUUAGUAAUCAUUUUUAGAAAGGUUUAAAUUUUGUAA